GAUGAAGAACGUAGCGAAAUGCGAUAAGUAAUGCGAAUUGCAGAAUUCAGUGAGUCAUCGAAUCUUUGAACGCACAUUGCGCCCGGCAGUAAUCUGCCGGGCAUGCCUGUCCGAGCGUCAUUUCUGCCCUCGAGCGAGUCCAGCAUCUAGGUGCUGGGCCCGCCCGGCGUUGGGGCACUACGGGAAGCCCUGUGCUGUCCCCCGUAGGCCCCGAAAUGAAGUGGCGGUCCUGCCGCGGCGCCCCCUGCGUAGUAUAACAGCUCGCUUCGGGACCCGGUGGAGGCCUGCCGUCAAACCUUACUCUCUAAGUUUGACCUCGGAUCAGGUAGGGUUACCCGCUGAACUUAAGCAUAUCAAUAAGCGGAGGA
rnacentral:misc_RNA from 1 species